CUCAUCUCCUUUGCUAGACUGUAAGCCCGAUGGGGAGGAAAGUCUGAAGAGGAACCUCUGCUUCACUUUCUACAGCGCCACCUGGGGCCAGCACCUCCACUCGGACCACAAGUGCACAAGGGCCCCCCUUAUGCCAGCAUCAGGGGCUGCUGGGCACCCCAAGGAAACCACCACCUUAUGGGGGUGAUUCCAAACACAGCAGGAUUUGGGGUGUGGUCAAUGCAGCCCUCAAACCAGAUGAAAAGGGAUGAAACGGUUGCGUGGAGAGUCCUCAGCACACUGUCUGACACCACAGGCUCACGCAGGCACAUGUGCCCGCCACACAACCAUUCAUAGGCCACAUUCCAGCAAGGCUUUUGGCUGCAAAUAACAGAACCCUCACUAGCAGUGGCUUCAACAGGCAGGGUUUAUUUUCUUACGCUUGGAGCUCUCCAGGUAGGCAGCUGGAGACACUGGGUUAGCAGCUGCAACUCCAAGAUCAAGGGACCUUUGCCCAGCACUGAAAAAUGGGAGCCCAUUAGGAAGGAGGUGGCUGUUUGGUAGCAACGAACGGUGUCUGCCACGGGGAGGUGUCUGAACGCCCGGAAGGUGUGCUCCUCUCACUUGGCCAACAAUGGAGGCAGAGCGUUGCCGUUGAAGGGAACAGCCAGGCCACCCCCUAAGACUGGGGGGAAGGGGGUGUGGGUGGAGGCCUCAAGGGCAAACUGGGUCACUGUAAGGGGUUUGGAUUUUCUUCUGAGAAGCCUGCGAAAUUUUGAGCAGGAAUAGAUGCUCAAGCCCAGCCUGAUGUUUUAUUUGUUUAUUUGCAGACAGGGUCUCACUCUGUCCCCGAGGCUGGAGUGCAGUGGUACAAUUAUAGCUCACUACAGCCUCGACCUAGUGGGCUGAAGUGAUUCUCCCACCUCAACCUCCCAAAUUGCUAGGACAAAUGCUACCACGCCUGGCUAAUUAAAACAAAUAUUGUUGGCCAGGUGUGGUGGUUCACACCUGUAAUCCCAGCACUUUGGGAGGCUGAGGCGGGUGGAUCACCUGAGGUCAGGAGUUUGAGACCAGCCUGGCCAACAUGGUGAAAUCUUGUCUCUAUUAAAUAAAAAAAAAUUAGCUGGGCAUGGCAGCACACACCUGUAGUUCCAGCUACUAGGGAGGCUGAGGCAGGAGAAUCCCUGGAACCCGGGAGGCGGAGGUUGCAGUGAGCGGAGAUGGUACCACUGCACUCUAGCCUGGGCGACAGAGCGAGACUCCGUCUCAAAAAAAAAAAAAAAAAAAAAAAAAAAAAAAAAAAAAAAACAAAAACAAAUCUUUAGAGCUGGGGUCUCACUAUGUUGCCCAGGCUGGUCUGAAUUCCUGGCCUCAGGCAUCCUCUCACCUCAGCCUCCCAAAGCACUGGGAAUACAGGAGUGAAUCGCCGUGUGCAGCCUAACAGAUUUUUUGUUUUUUGAGACAGAGUUUUUCUCUUGUUGCCCAGGCUGGAGUGCAAUGGUGCGAUCUCGGCUCACUGCAACCACCGCCUCCCAGGUUCAAGUGAUUCUCCAGCCUCAGACUCCCAAGUAGCUGGGAUUACAGGGAUGCACCACUACACCUGGCUAAUUUUGUAUUUUUAGUAGAGAUGGGGUUUCUCCAUGUUGGUCAGGCUGGUCUCGAACUCCCGACCUCAGGUGAUCCACCCGCCUCGGCUUCCUAAAGUGCUGGGAUUACAGGCGUGAGCCACCGUGCCCAGCCAACAGAUAUUUUUAAGAGAUCACUUUGUCUGCUGGGUGGAGAAUCGUUAGUAGUGGGUCAAAAGGUGAAGGCAGGAGACAGAAGUGUGGGCACUUUGCAUCUUCUGAGUCUUCUGGCCCUCACACCCUCCCACCCUCCCACCCCGUUCCUGGCACUCAAAGGCACGUGGCGCUGCUCCUGUGAACAGAUGUGCCCAUGUCCUUGAGGCUGACGUGUGCCUGUGUGCACUGACCCACGCAGAUCACCAAGGCGCCAGGGCAGCUUCCAGAGCCACGACACCAGGGUUCAAAUCCCAGCCCAACCUCUUUCUGGCUGGGUGAUCUUGUACAAGUCCUGAACCUCUCUGCACCUCAGUUUCCUCAUUCGUACCACAGGGGACCGGCACCAGCACACAGCAUUACCCCAGGAUUGGACGAAUUGUCACAUCUGCAAGUCUCCACUGGUGUUAUUACGUUAUCAGGCACAAACCCCCUCCAGACACCUGAGCCU
rnacentral:lncRNA from 10 species